UACGUAGGGUGCGAGCGUUGUCCGGAAUUAUUGGGCGUAAAGGGCUCGUAGGCGGUUUGUCGCGUCGGGAGUGAAAAUCCAGGGCUUAACUCUGGACUGGCUUCCGAUACGGGCAGACUAGAGGUAUGCAGGGGAGAACGGAAUUCUUGGUGUAGCGGUGAAAUGCGCAGAUAUCAGGAGGAACACCGGUGGCGAAGGCGGUUCUCUGGGCAUUACCUGACGCUGAGGAGCGAAAGUGUGGGGAGCGAACAGG
rnacentral:rRNA from 1 species